AACGUAGGUACCGAGCGUUAUCCGGAUUUACUGGGCGUAAAGCGCGUUCAGGCGGUUUGGCAAGUCGGGCAUGAAAUCUCUCGGCUCAACCGGGAGAGGUUGUCCGAUACUUCCAGACUUGAGGGCAGUAGAGGGUGGUGGAAUUCCGGGUGUAGUGGUGAAAUGCGUAGAUAUCCGGAGGAACACCAGUGGCGAAAGCGGCCACCUGGACUGCACCUGACGCUGAGGCGCGAAGGCCAGGGGAGCGAACGGG
rnacentral:rRNA from 1 species